ACAAAACAAGACGUUUAAAGACGACACCCUGGGCGCUAAGAAAUGAUAACAUGCAUUUUCCGAUAUUUUCUGCCAUUUUAUUAAGAAAUGAAUCAAUUCAUUGGGAAAAUAAUUGUCAGAUUACUCGAUAAUGAAAAUGAUCAGUAGUCGUGGCCCUACUACUUGGUUGGUGCUAUUUGAGCAGCCAGAGAGACGAUUUGCGAAACUCUCGCGAGAUUUGUACGCUUACCCUAACUUUAAACUCAAGCCUUAACCCUAACCGCACUCACAAGAGUUUGUCCCUCCAGCUAAUCCAAUCUAGCAUUUACCCUACUUCUUCCAUGAAGCUGGAGGCCUAACAAGAGAUGUACUAUCCUAACUUUUAGUCAGUAGUAUGGGUUAAGCUCUACACACACUGGAUCCUACACUACCCAUAAUGCAACUCCACAGCAUCUUUCUUUAAUUCCCUCCUUAACCGAACAACAUGUGUAAUAUCGUUGGAAUGCCCCUUAAAAGGCAAUUUUUGUGAUGUAUUUCUUAACCAAAUCAAGAGUGCUCUUGUGUAUUGUACAGAUUGUUAAACUCUUGGAGGCAAAUGUGUGAUAUUGAGGUAGAUAAAUAAGAUUGAUUUGCCUACAGUACACAAGGAUAACUCACAUCUAAAAUUCUCUAAAACACUCCGAGUUUCUCAGUCUUGUGUGGAGCUGGAGCCUCCAGUAUAACUUCAACUGUAGGAUUACUCAUCGCUUCUACUUUUAAGUGUGUGCCAGUCACCGCUCUCUACGCCGUUUGCGUAAACUCUCUUCUACAGGGAGUGGCUGAUUGCGUACACAUGGCGCAAGCGGGGAGUCUCCCGGACAUAGCGGAACAGAAGGCUCGACUCAGUGAGAUGGAGCUUCAAACAAGUUUCCAAAACCCCAAAUUACUUCAUGCUGAACGCUUAUUACUCAUGGCCACACACGUUUAAUAGCUUCAAUCGCCCUAAAGUCCAAUAAUAACAAAAAAGAAGAGAGGAGCAACUUUGCUUGGCGACAUCUCAGAUUACGUUAGAAAACUUUUUUGCGCAUUCAUAAUCUGCACCAUAAACGGUAUAAAUGGCGUUUUUUCCCCUCAGCAAACAACUUCUAUAUUUCCUCAGAGGUGGUUAUAUGCUUUGUAGCUCAGACAUGAAUGUUUUAAUGACCUUCUCUUAUCGCGGUGUCCCUGAACAAACAUCGCCGACAACAGUACACUCAAGGGCCUGUUCUCACUAGCUAAACUUUGAUGUGCGGGGCGCCUUUAACGGCUUCCAACGACUGAAUCCGAGAAGCUUUCAGUUUGAGAGUGUCAGCAAAGUUUGAUGGAAUUUCUACAGAGGAAUGCAGUUCCUCAGCCAGCAGCACGUGUCACAGGAACCAAACAGCUUUACCCAAAACCUUCUAGAUUGAGACUCUUUUCAGCUGUCUAUCAAUCCCUCCCUCAAGCCGAUGCAAUGCGUCGAUACAACUCACCUCCUUCAGUAUGGUCUGUUGG